rnacentral:rRNA from 1 species
UACGGAGGGGGCUAGCGUUGUUCGGAAUUACUGGGCGUAAAGCGCGCGUAGGCGGCUUUGUAAGUUAGAGGUGAAAGCCCGGAGCUCAACUCCGGAACUGCCUUUAAGACUGCAUCGCUUGAAUCCGGGAGAGGUGAGUGGAAUUCCGAGUGUAGAGGUGAAAUUCGUAGAUAUUCGGAAGAACACCAGCGGCGAAGGCGGCUCACUGGACCGGUAUUGACGCUGAGGUGCGAAAGCGUGGGGAGCAAACAGG